GUUCAAGUCCCAGAGACUGGAAGACACCAUCCAAAAGAGGGCCACAUUAACAGAGAAUUAAACUUUGAACCGAAGUUCUGUCUACCAUCUAAGAAGUAGGCUUAUUGCCCCUUCUGUGGUCAGAUUGCUGAAUUAACCUCAUCCUUCAUCCCCUGCAAUAAACUGCUGCUUCAGGUGCUGCCUUGCUGUUUACGUCUGGUUCUAUUGGUCUGAUCACUGCUUGCUACCAUGUAGUGAGAUCAUGUUUGGGCUAUCGACAGAAGGGAGUCCGCACCACUGUCAGUGAAUCUCAUUCGUAUUACCUCAAGGAACUGGAAUCUGCCGCUUUCAAAAUGCGUUUAUCUGCUGAAGCCAGGUUUCAAGUUACGGAGAAUGGAUUCAGGCCCAGCGGGCUGUCAAAGCAGAGUAACCAGGAUAAGACAUUGU